CUGUCAUGAUAAGUGUAGGGAUACCCAGGGGCUGAAUCUCAAUCUGCUUGCUUCUAUCAUUAGGAAAGAGUAAGUUUAGCCUCAAAUGGGUGCUUCCAGAGUAACUUGACUACAGUCAAUUGCCAGCUUGAAAUAGUGGAAAGAGCUCUGGGAUCACCAGCAGAAGCCUGGGGUUUAAGUCUCACCUCUGUGAUUUUAAGACUGGAAGUGGACACACCCAUAAUGAAGUCCAUUUUCUCUUCUUGUGCCUCAGCAACAGCACAAAGGAGAUAGAGCUCUGCCAUUUUCUCUUGGAGGGAAACGUGGUAUUCCAAAGAUAAGAGAUGAAAGAGAAUGCCUGGCUGACAGUAGCGAUAACAGAAGUGGUAAUUCUAAGCACUGGCUGCAAGACAAGGGAUCGACAAGGCGUGCAUGUAGCAAGCAGGAAAGAUUACAUCAAGAAAGCUUAAUUCCUGUCACCCCAAAGAACAGACACAACCAAGAGAAAAAGCCUUCUCUUUAAAAGGUGCAAGGAAACUGUUUUCCUAAUUGUUAUUCUUGUUGUUGUGUCAAGGUGGGGUGGGUAGGUUUGUUUGUGCAUUUUUUUA